rnacentral:tRNA from 1 species
GUUAAAGUGGCAGAGCCUGGACAUUGCAAAAGACCUAAGCUCUUUCUACAGAGGUUCAAGUCCUCUCUUUAACU